rnacentral:rRNA from 1 species
GACGAACGCUGGCGGCGUGCUUAACACAUGCAAGUCGAGCGAGGCCCUCCUUCGGGGGGUGCCCUAGCGGCGAACGGGUGAGUAACACGUGGGCAACCUGCCCUCAGCUCUGGGAUAACUCCAAGAAAUUGGUGCUAAUACCGGAUGUGACCGCUGACCGCAUGGUCUGGUGGUGGAAAGAUUUAUCGGCUGAGGAUGGGCCCGCGGCCUAUUAGCUUGUUGGUGGGGUUACGGCCCACCAAGGCGACGACGGGUAGCCGGCCUGAGAGGGUGACCGGCCACACUGGGACUGAGACACGGCCCAGACUCCUACGGGAGGCAGCAGUGGGGAAUAUUGCGCAAUGGGCGAAAGCCUGACGCAGCGACGCCGCGUGAGGGAUGACGGCCUGG